CUGCGCCAACGCCUUCGUUUCCGCUGCAGAAAUCGCUAACUAUUUGCGCCACAAUUAUCCUCAAUUUCCAGUCAACCUGCAAGACCAAGAUUGCAUGAGGAAUGGACCUGAUGAGCAACAAGUGAUGUUGAAUUAUGAAAAGCUUCUUAACAAAGGGUUCACAUACAAAAAAUCCUUGAAAGAUGUGGUAGAUGAUUCUAUUAGUUGUGGGAUGAGAUUUGGACAUCUCUAACUAGUCAAGCCAAAUCAAAAUACAUAAAUUGAAUCUAUAUGUAUUAUGUCUUAUUAUGUAUAUAGUUUGCCGUUUGAAAUAAUACCUAGGUGUAUUGGAUCACACUUAAAUGAUUAUGAGCUCAAUAAAUUUUUGAGUUUGUUA